rnacentral:pre_miRNA from 1 species
AAUAAAUCAACUUUUCAGUUUUUAGAUACAAUGUUUGACUCUUCGUCUUAUUCAAAAAAAUUUAUGAUUAAUAAUUUUAUUUUUAUUAGAUGAUAAAACAUGAAUAAUACUUUAUGUGUGACUAAUUUUUUAAAAUUUCUUGAAAUUUUUCAAGUAAGACGGAUGGUUAAACGUUCGACACAAAAACC